UACGUAGGGUGCGAGCGUUAAUCGGAAUUACUGGGCGUAAAGCGAGCGCAGACGGUUACUUAAGCAGGAUGUGAAAUCCCCGGGCUCAACCUGGGAACUGCGUUCUGAACUGGGUGACUAGAGUGUGUCAGAGGGAGGUAGAAUUCCACGUGUAGCAGUGAAAUGCGUAGAGAUGUGGAGGAAUACCGAUGGCGAAGGCAGCCUCCUGGGAUAACACUGACGUUCAUGCUCGAAAGCGUGGGUAGCAAACAGGAU
rnacentral:rRNA from 1 species